rnacentral:rRNA from 1 species
GACGAACGCUGGCGGCGUGCUUAACACAUGCAAGUCGAACGGUAAGGCCCUUCGGGGUACACGAGUGGCGAACGGGUGAGUAACACGUGGGUGAUCUGCCCUGCACUUCGGGAUAAGCCUGGGAAACUGGGUCUAAUACCGGAUAGGACCACUGCCUGCAUGGGUGGUGGUGGAAAGCUUUUGCGGUGUGGGAUGGGCCCGCGGCCUCUCAGCUUGUUGGUGGGGUGAUGGCCUACCAAGGCGACGACGGGUAGCCGGCGUGAGAGGUGGACCGGCCACACUGGGACUGAGAUACGGCCCAGACUCCUACGGGAGGCAGCAGUGGGGAAUAUUGCACAAUGGCGCAAGCCUGAUGCAGCGACGCCGCGUGAGGGAUGACGGCCUUCGGGUUGUAAACCUCUUUCAGCACCGACGAAGCGCAAGUGACGGUAGGUGCAGAAGAAGGACCGGCCAACUACGUGCCAGCAGCCGCCGUAA